GACUGAGCUAUAAUCCAUGCUUAAGUGAAUAAGUGUACACAAACGGUAUUUGAAUGAGCAACUUCUUAUUCAGUUAAGUGCUCAACUUAUGUUUUUGUGUCCUAUCUUAUGGAGAUUCCAAGUCAACCUACUAAAUUGUGGCUAUUUCUUGAAACAUUUCAGUUAUUUCAACUUUAUAACAUUAUCUUUUGAUGAUAUACCUGAAUAUUUUGUAGAAAUUUGACUACAUGGUUGGUAGACCAUUGUAGGCAAAUUUGACUGGUGCUACUACAUUGCUACUGUUUGUCAGUCCCAUGUUACAUGUUUGCAUAUUUUGUAGUUCUAGAUUCUCCCUCUGUGACAUUCUUUCAAUGAUUUACAUGUGAAAUUAUUAACGGACUGUUUCAUGCCCUUCUAGACACCUAAGGUUCUAAUUGGAUUACUAAAUUUCAUAAUUUAAACAGCAACUGUAUGAAGAUGAGCAAGAUUGAUGCCUGGGCAUCGUUUCAGAUCGGGACCUGCAGCCAAGAUUGAAGGUUACAGGCGUGUUUAUGUUUUAAUUGGCCAAGAAGAAAAAAUAUGCGGAUGUGAUCCAAUAAAUUGGCAGCAGCGUACAGCUUUCCCAUGUCCUUGAUAAUGAGGUGCUAGGUCAUUGAAGGCAUCUGUGUGUAUAAGAACAGGACCUUCUUGGGACCUCUUCGGAAGUAUGUAAAACAAAACAAAGUCGUAAAGGGUGGCGGAACUAGGGUAACUUGUACUCACUCAGCUAACCCCCAAUGCCCGCUAAAGUGAUUUGAUAAACUAAUGGACUGUUCCACGCCCUGUUGGCCAUGACAUGUAAUAUCAGGUUAUUCAUGCUACUUUUGCAAAAUGUUGUAAUGCACUUUUGGAUUGUCUAUAAAACUCUCUGGCUGUUGAGAAAUUCAAUAAAUUAGACAACACACUGAACGUGCACAUUUUCUGUAGUUAACCCUCAACAGAAAUAUCCCCCAAUAAUGCAACUGGACUAAUUUACCCGUAGGAACCAUUUUGAAGCAAAACGGUGAGCUUAGCUACCUUCUAUUCAUUUUAUCUCUCUCUUGGUGAUGUUUGUAUUCUUUUUUUCCCUCUCUUUUCAUGUAUUUUUCCAGUCCACCUCCUCAAACCAAAGGAAUCAAUAAUCAUGGCAUGUAGUUCCUAAGAGUUUUAGUCAAUCCAACUGAAUUCAGAAUACUCUAAUAGUCUAACAUACUCACUGGAAAAGGUCUAGGAAGCUUCUGUAGCUGCUUCUGCAGAGGCCCGAUAUGAGUUCUAUAAAUGUGAGCAUCUCCAAUCACAUGGAUAAAAUCACCAGGAACAAGACCUGUGCAAACAUGUGACAAGGUGGGAGUGCCAUUAAUUUGAGAUCUGAGGGAUUCCAUGCUGCGAGGAUAAUGCGUCUGUCAUCUGGUCUAUUCUUGAUCUUGUCAACAACAUCUUCUAGUUGAUCAAACCCUUGCCCCGUGUAGUCAGCAUGCAUGUCUGUAUAUCUAGCACCGAAGUGUCUCCAUUGGAAGCCAUAUAUGGGUCCUAAGUGGCCCUGUUCUCUAUCUUUCAGGACAAUACUGAAUAAUAUAGAUACAUCAGUUGUGUUUGUACAGACAAAGGCAAUUUUUCAUAUUUGAGAGGUUACCUGUGAAGGUAGUCUCUCGAUCCAUUUCCAUCCCAGAUGUGAACAUUUUUCUUCUGUAGA
rnacentral:misc_RNA from 1 species